ACUAAAUAGCGAUAAGGUGUAUUGAUAGCGAUUCUUUGUUUACAUUGAAUAACUUAAAUUACGUAACAACUAAAAUCCCUCACAACAGAACCAAAAUCGGAAACAUUACGGUUUUUCCGUUUCUUUUUUAACAGAUUUUAAAGUGAAAAUAUGUUUGAAUUUAAAAAAAUAAUUCAUACAUCGUCCCCUUUUCACAGCAGGGAUGGGGUCGAUUACUUUAAAAUGUAAUCGAUUACAUUACAAUUACUUUGCUAAUAAAAUGUAAUCGAUUACAUUACAAUUACACCCUAUUUCAUAUGUAAUCAAUUACAUUAGAUUACUUUUCUUUAUUGUAAUCAUGAUUACUUUAGAUUACUUAUGAUUACAUUGUAUAUUGCUAUAUCAAAGUUUUUUUAAAACUUUUUAUCCGCU
rnacentral:lncRNA from 1 species